rnacentral:rRNA from 1 species
GACGAAGGAUGCAAGCGUUAUCCGGAUUCAUUGGGUUUAAAGGGAGCGUAGGCGGAUUUGUAAGUCAGUGGUGAAAUCUCGCGGCUUAACUGCGAAACUGCCAUUGAUACUGCAGAUCUUGAGUACAGUUGCCGUUGGCGGAAUAUGACAUGUAGUGGUGAAAUACAUAGAGAUGUCAUAGAACACCGAUUGCGAAGGCAGCUAACGAAACUGUAACUGACGCUGAGGCUCGAAAAGUGUGGGGAUCAAACAGG